CACGUAAACAACCUGCCUUCAGGAUGGGGACAACAGACGGAAACGACUGCUAAUACCGAAUAAGUUCCAAGAGCCGCAUGGCCCAUGGAAGAAAAGGUGGCCUCUACCUGUAAGCUAUCGCCUGAAGAGGGGUUUGCGUCUGAUUAGCUGGUUGGAGGGGUAACGGCCCACCAAGGCGACGAUCAGUAGCCGGUCUGAGAGGAUGAACGGCCACACUGGAACUGAGACACGGUCCAG
rnacentral:rRNA from 1 species